rnacentral:tRNA from 1 species
GGAAUCGAAGCUUACUAGGUAAAGCACUCGACUUUUAAUCGAGGGUCUUGAUGGGUUCAAAUCCCUCCGGUUCCA